rnacentral:rRNA from 1 species
UACGUAGGGGGCUAGCGUUGUCCGGAAUCAUUGGGCGUAAAGAGCGUGUAGGCGGCCCGGUAAGUCCGCUGUGAAAGUCGGGGGCUCAACCCUCGAAUGCCGGUGGAUACUGUCGGGCUAGAGUGCGGAAGAGGGUCGUGGAAUUCCCAGUGUAGAGGUGAAAUUCGUAGAUAUUGGGAAGAACACCGGUGGCGAAGGCGGGUCUCUGGGCAAUUCCUGACGCUGAGGCGCGAAAGCGUGGGGAGCAAACGGG